UACAGGGGGGGGCAAGCGUUGUUCGGAAUUACUGGGCGUAAAGGGCCAGUAGGCGGCCUUCUAAGUCAGACGUGAAAUCCCCCGGCUUAACCUGGGAACUGCGUCUGAUACUGGGAGGCUUGAGUAUGGGAGAGGGAUGUAGAAUUCCAGGUGUAGCGGUGAAAUGCGUAGAUAUCUGGAGGAAUACCGGUGGCGAAGGCGGCAUCCUGGACCAUUACUGACGCUGAGGCGCGAAAGCUAGGGGAGCAAACGGGG
rnacentral:rRNA from 1 species